UUAAUUGAAGAGUUUGAUCAUGGCUCAGAUUGAACGCUGGCGGCAGGCCUAACACAUGCAAGUCGAGCGGUAACAGAGAGAAGCUUGCUUCUUUGCUGACGAGCGGCGGACGGGUGAGUAAUGCUUGGGAA
rnacentral:rRNA from 1 species